UACGUAGGGCGCAAGCGUUGUCCGGAAUUAUUGGGCGUAAAGAGCUCGUAGGCGGUUUGUCGCGUCUGCUGUGAAAACCUAAGGCUCAACCUUGGGCUUGCAGUGGGUACGGGCAGACUGGAGUGCGGUAGGGGUGACUGGAAUUCCUGGUGUAGCGGUGGAAUGCGCAGAUAUCAGGAGGAACACCGAUGGCGAAGGCAGGUCACUGGGCCGCAACUGACGCUGAGGAGCGAAAGCAUGGGGAGCGAACAGG
rnacentral:rRNA from 1 species